AUGGUGCGCAUGAAUGUCCUGGCUGAUGCUCUCAAGAGCAUCAACAAUGCCGAAAAGAGAGGCAAACGCCAGCCAGGUGCUUAUUAGGCCGUGCUCCAAAGUCAUCGUCUGGUUUCUCACUGUGAUGAUGAAGCAUGGUUACAUUGGCGAAUUUGAAAUCAUUGAUGAUCACAGAGCUGGGAAAAUUGUUGUGAACCUCACAGACAGGCUAAACAAGUGUGGAGUGAUCAGCCCCAGAUUUGAUGUGCAACUCAAAGAUCUGGAAAAAUGGCAGAAAAUCUGUUUCCAUCCCUUCAGUUUGGUUUCAUUGUACUGACAACCUCAGCUGGCAUCAUGGACCAUGAAGAAGCAAGAUGAAAACACACAGGAGGGAAAAUCCUGGGAUUCUUUUUCUAG
rnacentral:lncRNA from 1 species